AAUAGAUACCCGGGUAGUCCACGCCGUAAACGAUGAGUGCUAAGUGUUAGGGGGUUUCCGCCCCUUAGUGCUGCAGCUAACGCAUUAAGCACUCCGCCUGGGGAGUACGGUCGCAAGACUGAAACUCAAAGGAAUUGACGGGGGCCCGCACAAGCGGUGGAGCAUGUGGUCUAAUUCGAAGCAACGCGAAGAACCUUACCAGGUCUUGACAUCCCAUUGACCGCUAUGGAGACAUAGCUUUCCCUUCGGGGACAGUGGUGACAGGUGGUGCAUGGUUGUCGUCAGCUCGUGUCGUGAGAUGUUGGGUUAAGUCCCGCAACGAGCGCAACCCUUGUUCUUAGUUGCCAUCAUUUAGUUGGGCACUCUAAGGAGACUGCCGGUGACAAACCGGAGGAAGGUGGGGAUGACGUCAAAUCAUCAUGCCCCUUAUGACCUGGGCUACACACGUGCUACAAUGGACGGUACAAACGGUUGCCAACCCGCGAGGGGAGCUAAUCCGAUAAAACCGUUCUCAGUUCGGAUUGUAGGCUGCAACUCGCCUAC
rnacentral:rRNA from 1 species